rnacentral:lncRNA from 1 species
CUGAAAUAUGCAGGAUCACAGUCUCUUUACACCUCAAAGAUCAAGUGUUGGAACAAGAGUACUCAACACUGAAAAAAUCAGCCCAAAACGUCCAGGAAUCCAGAGAGAUCUGGACGUUAUGCCAGCACUGGGGUCCAAGGCAAAGACCAGGAGAUUUGGGAAGAAUCCCUGGGAUCUUCGAGGACCUCAUCAGCUGGGCACAUCCUUGGUAAAGCAAUAGAGGAUCAAAUUCAUGCUUAGGGUCUUUCUAUUUCCUACUUUGUUGCUUGCUUCCAGUCUACUUGAAGUCUUAAACCAAUUAUUUU